rnacentral:misc_RNA from 1 species
UCCGGUUUGUCACCGGCAGUCUCCUAUGAGUCCCCACCAUAACGUGCUGGCAACAUAGGACAGGGGUUGCGCUCGUUGCGCCACUUAAGGCAACACCUCACGGCACGAGCUGACGACAGCCAUGCAGCACCUGUGUGCAGGUUCUCUUUCGAGCACGAAUCCAUCUCUGGAAACUUCCUGCCAUGUCAAAGGUGGGUAAGGUUUUUCGCGUUGCAUCGAAUUAAACCACAUCAUCCACCGCUUGUGCGGGUCCCCGUCAAUUCCUUUGAGUUUUAGCCUUGCGGCCGUACUCCCCAGGCGGAGUGCUUAAUGCGUUAGCUGCGGCACAGAGAGGGUUGAAGACCUCCCCACACCUAGCACUCAACGUUUACGGCUGGGACUAC